rnacentral:rRNA from 1 species
GACGAACGCUGGCGGCGUGCUUAACACAUGCAAGUCGAACGGAGUGGCGAACGGGUGAGUAACACGUGGGUGACCUGCCCUGCACUUCGGGAUAAGCCUGGGAAACUGGGUCUAAUACCGGAUAGUGUGGGAUGGGCCCGCGGCCUAUGAGCUUGUUGGUGGGGUAAUGGCCUACCAAGGCGGCGACGGGUAGCCGGCCUGAGCGGGUGGACGGCCACAAUGGGGCUGAGGCACGGGCCAGACUGCUACGGGGGGAAGCAGUGGGGAAUAUUGCAGAAUGGGGGGAAGCCUGAUGCAGCGGCGCCGGGGGGGGGAUGACGGCCUUCGGGUUGUAAACUCCUUUGACCAUCGACGCGGUAGAUGGAGAAGAAGCACCGGCUAACUACGUGCCAGCAGCCGCGGUAAUUC